rnacentral:rRNA from 1 species
GAGUUUGAUCGUGGCUCAGAUUGAACGCUGGCGGCAUGCCUUACACAUGCAAGUCGAACGGCAGCACGGGAGCUUGCUCCUGGUGGCGAGUGGCGAACGGGUGAGUAAUGCAUCGGAACGUAUCCUGGGGUGGGGGAUAACGUAGCGAAAGUUACGCUAAUACCGCAUAUUCUGUGAGCAGGAAAGCGGGGGACCUUCGGGCCUCGCGCUCUUGGAGCGGCCGAUGUCGGAUUAGCUAGUUGGUGAGGUAAAGGCUCACCAAGGCGACGAUCCGUAGCAGGUCUGAGAGGAUGAUCUGCCACACUGGAACUGAGACACGGUCCAGACUCCUACGGGAGGCAGCAGUGGGGAAUUUUGGACAAUGGGGGCAACCCUGAUCCAGCCAUGCCGCGUGAGUGAAGAAGGCCUCGGUGUAAG